GAUGAACGCUGGCGGCGUGCCUAAUACAUGCAAGUCGAGCGAACGGACGAGAAGCUUGCUUCUCUGAUGUUAGCGGCGGACGGGUGAGUAACACGUGGAUAACCUACCUAUAAGACUGGGAUAACUUCGGGAAACCGGAGCUAAUACCGGAUAAUAUUUUGAACCGCAUGGUUCAAAAGUGAAAGACGGUCUUGCUGUCACUUAUAGAUGGAUCCGCGCUGCAUUAGCUAGUUGGUAAGGUAACGGCUUACCAAGGCAACGAUGCAUAGCCGACCUGAGAGGGUGAUCGGCCACACUGGAACUGAGACACGGUCCAGACUCCUACGGGAGGCAGCAGUAGGGAAUCUUCCGCAAUGGGCGAAAGCCUGACGGAGCAACGCCGCGUGAGUGAUGAAGGUCUUCGGAUCGUAAAACUCUGUUAUUAGGGAAGAACAUAUGUGUAAGUAACUGUGCACAUCUUGACGGUACCUAAUCAGAAAGCCACGGCUAACUACGUGCCAGCAGCCGCGGUAAUACGUAGGUGGCAAGCGUUAUCCGGAAUUAUUGGGCGUAAAGCGCGCGUAGGCGGUUUUUUAAGUCUGAUGUGAAAGCCCACGGCUCAACCGUGGAGGGUCAUUGGAAACUGGAAAACUUGAGUGCAGAAGAGGAAAGUGGAAUUCCAUGUGUAGCGGUGAAAUGCGCAGAGAUAUGGAGGAACACCAGUGGCGAAGGCGACUUUCUGGUCUGUAACUGACGCUGAUGUGCGAAAGCGUGGGGAUCAAACAGGAUUAGAUACCCUGGUAGUCCACGCCGUAAACGAUGAGUGCUAAGUGUUAGGGGGUUUCCGCCCCUUAGUGCUGCAGCUAACGCAUUAAGCACUCCGCCUGGGGAGUACGACCGCAAGGUUGAAACUCAAAGGAAUUGACGGGGACCCGCACAAGCGGUGGAGCAUGUGGUUUAAUUCGAAGCAACGCGAAGAACCUUACCAAAUCUUGACAUCCUUUGACAACUCUAGAGAUAGAGCCUUCCCCUUCGGGGGACAAAGUGACAGGUGGUGCGUGGUUGUCGUCAGCUCGUGUCGUGAGAUGUUGGGUUAAGUCCCGCAACGAGCGCAACCCUUAAGCUUAGUUGCCAUCAUUAAGUUGGGCACUCUAAGUUGACUGCCGGUGACAAACCGGAGGAAGGUGGGGAUGACGUCAAAUCAUCAUGCCCCUUAUGAUUUGGGCUACACACGUGCUACAAUGGACAAUACAAAGGGCAGCGAAACCGCGAGGUCAAGCAAAUCCCAUAAAGUUGUUCUCAGUUCGGAUUGUAGUCUGCAACUCGACUACAUGAAGCUGGAAUCGCUAGUAAUCGUAGAUCAGCAUGCUACGGUGAAUACGUUCCCGGGUCU
rnacentral:rRNA from 1 species